rnacentral:rRNA from 1 species
GAUGAACGCUGGCGGCGUGCCUAAUACAUGCAAGUCGAGCGAACAGACGAGGAGCUUGCUCCUCUGACGUUAGCGGCUGACGGGUGAGUAACACGUGGAUAACCUACCUAUAAGACUGGGAUAACUUCGGGAAACCGGAGCUAAUACCGGAUAAUAUAUUGAACCGCAUGGUUCAAUAGUUAAACACUGUUUUGCUGUCACUUAUAGAUGGAUCCGCGCCGCAUUAGCUAGUUGGUAAGGUAACGGCUUACCAAGGCAACGAUGCGUAGCCGACCUGAGAGGGUGAUCGGACACACUGGAACUGAGACACGGUCCAGACUCCUACGGGAGGCAGCAGUAGGGAACCUUCCGCAAUGGGCGAAAGCCUGACGGAGCAACGCCGCGUGAGUGAUGAAGGUCUUCGGAUCGUAAAACUCUGUUAUUAGGGAAGAACAAAUGUGUAAGUAACUAUGCACGUCUUGACGGUACCUAAUCAGAAAGCCACGGCUAACUACGUG